UCGCCGACGCCAUUUGGACGCCAUGUUGCCCGAGAUUUGAGCGCUUGUACGCCUUGGCUUCUAAAUUUCAAGAUGAAUAUUGACGGCAGAAGACGGCGUUGUGCAUAUGGGGGGCACGCACUGAUUUCAAGUGAGUCGGAAGUGCCAAAAUUGAACAAGAUUGGUUCCAAGUACGUUUCGAAGUCCGUCAUUCAGGCCCUGGGAAUGGGUGACCCUGGCAAGCUUGCUGGACGAUACCUGUGUCAUAAGUGUAUUUCCUAUGGCAGGUCGCAGAUGAAAAUUGUUCAGGAGAGCCAGCGCCAUUCCGGAUCUGAAAAUGCUCUGCAUGUCAGCAUUGUCUGGGAUUGCAAUAUCCUAAUCAAUCACUACCCUCUAAUGACCAACGGGUAUAUGCUCAGCACAUCAUCAUAUCACCGUUCCACACACCAUCACAUUACAAACAUCAUCACGCACCAAUUAGUAUGCGUUUCUGCUCUGAAAUGGGUACAUUUCAAUGCUGUUCACAACCAUUAAAUCACAUGUUCAAUCCACUCCUGUUCGUCUCCUCAGUCACCCGGAGACCUUGACCUACUCCUGGUCCUCUACGCCCGCCAGCGCCGCUUCGUCUGCGGUGCCGACCAGCGCCGCUUCGUCUGCGGCCCCCGCCAGCGCCGCUUCGUCUGCGGCCCCCGCCAGCGCCGCUUCGUCUGCGGUGCCGACCAGCGCC